GGCCCCGCCCCCCACCUUUUUCCCGGCUUCGUGAGCGCCUGCCUGGGUCGCCACGAAAAUGCGGAUAAGGCAGAUUUCUUCCUGAGAGUAAGAACCAGGAAGGGCUUUAAGAGUUUUUCUCGGCGCAUGCGCAGUGUUCACAGUCUGAAGGAGCCUAGGGCCAGAGAGUAGGAAGCGUGGGCAGCUCCCGGCUGCAUUAUGGCUGCCCCCGACUCUACGGGUUCCCCAAGACCCCGAGGCGAGCCCAUCCUAAAAGAUGUUGUUGCUUAUGUUGAAGUAUGGUCAUCCAGUGGAGUAGAAAAUUAUUCAAAAACUUUUGUGAAUCAACUCCUGGGUAUGGGAGCAAAAGUUUCAAAAACUUUUAACAGAAAUGUAACUCAUGUUAUAUUUAAGGAAGGAUAUCAAAGCACUUGGGACAAAGCACAGAAGUAUGGUAUAAAGCUUGUUUCAGUCCUGUGGGUUGAAAAAUGCAGGCUAGCUGGUGUACGUGUUGAUGAGUCUUUAUAUCCUGCAAUCAACACUAAAGAAGGUUUAUCAAGUGUAAUUAAAAAAAAACGAAAAUGCAUGCAACCAAAAGACUUUAUUCCUCGAACACCAGAAAAUGAUAGAAGACUUCAAAAGAAAAUUGAGAAAAUGGCUAAUCAACUGAAUAUUCAAAAAACAGCCAUAGAUAAUGAUGUACCUGUUCUGUUGUUUGAAGCUGAUGGUUCAUUAAUAUAUAGCCCCACAACUAAAAUUAAGGAUCAGUGUAAUGCAAUGGAAAAGAGACUACAAGAAAUGAAAGAUAAAAGGGAAAAUCUUUCCCCUACAUUUUCUCAAAUGCUUGCUCUUAAUUCAGACCCAUCUUCAUCUGGAACAUGUUUGAAUACAUCACUUAACACUUCACAUUCAGAUGAAUCCAUUUCUGAUGUUUUAAAUACUUCUUUUGAUGAUAUUUGGAGAAACUCUGAAAACGGGAAACAUAAAGUAAAAUCAGAAAAAUGCAUUCAAAAAGCUAAAGCUGAUGCAUGUCUUUCUUCACCUUUAUCAAAAACUGCAUCCAGUAGUCUCUUUGAAAGAGUAACUCCCCAACGAUCUAAGAGUAACCUUCCUGUAGAAAAAAGGAAUUUCCAAAGCACUUUGGUGACUGAAAUGCUCACUCCUGAAAAAAUACAAUUUGAAGAAAUAUCUAAGAAAAUAUUUUGUGAUUAUAUGUCCCCUUCUUUAGCUGUAGGAAAAAAACAGUCUGGGAAAAGUCCAGGUCCUACAAAUUCUUCAGAAAAACAACUGAAAAGUUUAAUGCACUUAAAUUUUCCUUCAAAAGCAAAAUCAAGGAAAAAAAGAUAUACCAGUCGCAAAUUGCAUCUAGAUAAGACUGAAAAUUUUUUAGAGUUGAUGACCAGCCCUGUAAAGAUAUCACCAGCCUGCAAAGAAGCAAUAUAUGAUGAUUAUUUUUCACCCACUAAUUUGAAAGAAGGGAAUUCAAGGAAUUGUACUUUUGAAGCUAAACAGAAAUUACAAAGCCCUUCACAUUUGAAGUACCAAAAAAUAGUCUAUAAGAAUAAAAAAAAAAGCAUAUUAGAAAAUACUGAUUUUCCCAGCGUUAGCAAAAAAAUGGAACCAAUUCUAGCAAGUGAUACUUUAGUGGAAGACAACAGGCUCAAGAAACUUCCAAAUUAUGAAAGAAAUGUAAACUUGAAUUGCAGUUCAUACAGUGAAAUACCUGAUGGGAAAGAAACUUUAGGAUGUUGUAAUGAGAUUGAUUCUCAGAAAAGAGAAGGAAAAAUAACCAUAAAUGGAAAUAAAUGUCUGUAUACUACUGAUGAAUCGGUUCUUAUGAGUGAAUGUAUGGAAACAGAACAUUAUGAUAAUUUAAUUGCUUUGGAAGGAGAUGCUAAAGAAUACCUCAUCAGUAAGAAAGAAUCAACUAUUCCCAUGAACAUACAAAAGAGAGAAAAUAUUAACUCUAAAAUGUUGAAUUCUUGUGAAAAAGAAAAACAAGAAGAUAAUAACUUCAUUUUCAAAAGUGAUGCUGCUCUGAAGAUAUCAGUGAAAGAAAUGGAAAAUCCCUCCAGAUGUAUUCAAAGUGUUGAAAGUGGAAAAGUGAAGCUUGAUAUUUUAGAUGAAGUCUCUGAAGGCUUUAAAGACCAAAAGAUCAAAUCUCCAGAGGAACCCAAAAAAACUAAAAAAGUCAGAAAGCCAACAAGAACAUUAGUCAUGACAAGCAUGCCCUCUGAGAAACAGAACAUCAUCAUGCAGGUGGUAGACAAAUUGAAGGACUUUUCUUUUUCAUGUAAUGUAUGUGAAUCUACAACUCAUGUAGUUGCAGGGGAGCCUCGUCGAACUCUGAAUGUACUGUUGGGAAUUGCCCGUGGCUGCUGGAUUGUUUCUUAUGAAUGGGUACUGUGGUCUUUGGAGUUUGGCUACUGGGUUUCAGAGGAGCCAUAUGAACUUUCAGACUACUUCCCUGCAGCUUCUAUAUGCCGGCUGCAGCGCCAUUUGUCAAUAGACCAGUACCAAGGAGACCUUUUUGCCAGUCAGCCAGUGAUGUUCAUAACUGCAGCCUGUGAACCUCCUUGUGCCACCCUAAGGGAACUCGUGCAGCUAUGUGGAGGCCAAGUGUCCAGGAGCACCGUAACAGCCAGUAUCUACAUUGGUCCGUAUAGAGGAAAGAAACAGCCAGAGAUCAAGUACUUAUCAGAAAAAUGGAUCCUAGGGAGCAGUGUGUGAAGAUACAGAAAGACAAAUUUAGAAACAGAAAGAAAAACUUGCUACCAGUGCUUUCCAAAAGUAGAAUCAGAUUCAAUCUCUCAACACAAGAUCUGUCCCUAUGAAAAUUACCUAAUGCCAUAAGGAAAAAGAAGUCAUUCAUCAUUUAGACGGCCAUUGGGAACAAGUUAUGAAAUGUUUUUUUCACAUGUAAAUUAAAAUCAUAAAGUAAAAGUAUAGAAGAAAUGAAUGAUACAAUUUUGUGCAUCUUUAAUGUGGUUUUUUUAUUGCAUGUUUUUGUCCUCAAGUAAACAAUGAUUCCCUGAAUCUUGUACAUGAUAUUGGAUUAAUAAAUCCAAAUGGUGUGCUGGUAUAUUAAUGCACUGAUGCCUUUGUCAUAAAUAUCAAGUCUUAAAUGUUUUCAUAAAAACAAAAGAAACAACAUGCUACUAAAUAAAGUCUGAGGUUUUAAUAAGUUAUGGAAAAAUAAUUACACAAUAGCAAAGAAUU